CAUAUAACAUAUUUUUAGCUUUCUUUGCAAGGAAGUAUUAGCAAUGAAAACAGUUUCUGUUUUUUUGUAUUGUUUCUUUUAUUUUAGUUUCGAGGAAUUUUCUUAUGCUUUUUGCACGUUGUUGACGACUUUUAAUGAUUUUCCUCACCCUACCCCUGRCAGUGUCACAUUUUUGCAGCUCUCAGUCAGAGGACAUUUCAGACAUAUUGUAUCAAAUCGCGACCAUUCUGUGGAAUAACGGUAUGCAAAUGCUGUACAGAAGUCACGAUUUAAGCUUCCUAUCUGUUGAAAUAACUUUAUAAAUCUCUUUGGAUUGUAGAAACGAAACAAGUUUCCCUCAUUAGCUUAACGGACCUCUGGCGCCAGGCUGCAUAYAUUUUUGUGAAUACACUGUUUUAUAUAGCCAAAAAGAAGACCAAUUAGAUUGCAGGGACCGCAAUUUGACAGUCGCCAUGGUUGCUUUGGACACUAARGAUAUUAUCAUUAUUUGCUCUAUCUUGUUCUCGAUGUUGGUCGUUGGUUGGUGUGUGGUGCUCUUCAAAUUUCGUGGACCCUGUUUUCCAGGCGAUCAAUUUUUGAAACCACUGCAAAAACUGACUGCCGACCAGGAAGAUAAAUUGAACAGUGAACCAAAUGUUAUUGUCUUGCAAGAAGCAGCUUGAAAGAUGACCUUUAGAGCGUUUGUAAAACGUAGCGAAUGUAGUCUGACACAAAGUGGUUGAUUGACAACUGAACAAUAAGUAUAGGGCGGCAAUCGGACUGGUUACUUUUCAUACUACAUUUUAUAGUGGUUUAGGCUGGGAUACCAGUAGGCAAUCAGCUUGCUGCUCCAACUGACUUACAUWAUGCUAUAUGACUGACUAUCAAUUAUAAUUGGUUCACAAGUAAGUUUGAAUCGUUUCCAAUAAGUUUCUGAAUAGGCGA